CCAAAUACACAAGCAUGCAUUCCCACAUUUACCCACAUACCUCAUAUAAGUCAGUUUAUGUGUACACUGACAAUAGUGCCCUCAUAGGCCGAGGCCCCCUUGUGCAGUACACAGCCUGAACACCUGUACAAGGUGGCCCUGUGCCACCUCCCCUCCUUUCCCCCAGGCUCAGCUGGAUUGAGUCUCUGGAACAGAAAACCGGGCUCCUUCUUUGUCAGUAAAAUUUUCAUUUCACCCCCUAGUAUGGGCUGCAGAAUCCCAGGGGGCCAGUAGUCAAGCAGAAGAAGGACAUUUACGAAGAACCAAGAGGCUGAUACUUUCAGAUGGACCUCUCAGAAGAGCAAGAGUCAAAGAGAGGUGGUGGGGUGGGGAUGGGCCCCACUGGGCUCAAACAAAUGACACAGGAAGUAACAGGUCAUCCUUCUGAUCCUGCUGCCAGCGAUGGGGUGAGGGAGCAAGGGUGCAUCUCCCCAGGGACAGGAGCAGAGGGCAAGGACAGGAGGAGAUGACGCCCCCACCCCCAGAGGCUCCAGAGAGAGACAGCAAAGACCAGGGCGACCGAGGCCAUACACCUUGAACCUUGCUCCCCUCGACCCCCACCCAACGCACAGGAGGAGCAAAGACAGAGCAGAGGGGAGAUGAAGGGAGAGACCAGAGAAUCAGAAUGCCCCACAUCCGCUUGUUAAAACUGAAAGUGAAGGAAAUUCUGUAAGUCAAGGAAAGAAUGGUUUGAGCACAGCUGGAGAUCAAGCAACUGGAGUGAAGUCAAACCACACUGGGCUGUUCGAUCAACUAGUGACCGGGCCCCACGCAAGGCGCGCACAUGCUCCACCUCCCUUAGCUCUGGAAGCGCUGCCCUGCGAUUGGGGGUCUGUCCUGCCCUCACAGAGGCUGAAACGGAGGCAUCCAGGGCACAGGCUUGCCCGCUGCAAGGAGGCAGGGCCUGGGUUCAGAUGGAGAUGCUCGGAUGCCUCGUCCUCUGUGGCCUGCGCUGGCCCAGCACCAAGUUGGCACAAGACCUGGCAGUGCCCAAGGAUGCACAGGGCAGGAGGGAUAGAAUGUGACCUGCAGCCAACCUCUCUGGAACAACCAGCGGCCUGGCCACGAGAUGACCAGAGAGGACAUGAAGGGGACCCAGAAAGACAGGAGACACUGUGGAGCACUGGACUCAUCACCAGGCCUCAAGGUGGGACUCAGAGGUCAGGUUCCUAGAUCCACACAGGGCGCCUGUCAGAUGCCUGCUUAUCCUCCUUGGGUCCUCUCGGUGAUGGGGAGCAGGCCCCAUUUUUACAACAGGCCCAGAGGGCAGUGGUGCUGGCCCAAGGUCACAUAGCUAGAGGUGGCAGAUGGGGCUCCAUCCUGCUCAUUCACUAUAUCGGAGCCUUCCUGGAGAGCACCUGGGGACGUCCGUGUGCGGCAGACUUUGAAGGAGCAGCCCCGUCCCUAGGGAGGGUUUAUGGUGCUGAAGCCCUGGGGCCAGGUGGGGUGUCCUUCGGCACCUAAGUGCCUUCAUCCCUAUCCCCAGACAGACCACCACCCCUUCCUUCCCAAUUGCUGGCUAGAGAGGACCCUUCUGCUAGGGUGGAAGGAGCCCUAGUCCCAUAUCUGCCCGGCCCCUCCUAACCCCCACAGCCCCAAGUGACUAAACUUCCACCCACCUUCCCCCACCAAGCACCUGCCCUUUCCAGAAGUCUCAACUGCAGCCUGAUCUCCGUUUGGGGAGCCACCUACCCGACAUGUGACCCUGUCCACCAGUGUCUUCCCUGGGACUUCUGCAGGCCCCAUUGAGAGAGAAGCCCCCUUUCUGCUGGGAACCCGAAGCCAGGAGGUCAGGAGCCCCCCACUGCUCCCAGGCACAACCAUCCAAAACAGAGCUGGCACAGAGACACGGAGCUGGCAGGAGGGACACAUGCCUUCUUCAGCCAUCAUUUGCACACCUGAAUCCAGAGCUGCCUCAGGUGAGGCCACCAUCACAGACUUUUCAUGCACACGAGCCAAUAAAGUCUCUCUUUUGCUCA
rnacentral:lncRNA from 12 species